GACGAACGCUGGCGGCGUGCUUAACACAUGCAAGUCGAACGGUGAAGGGGAGCUUGCUUCCCGGAUCAGUGGCGAACGGGUGAGUAACACGUGGGCACCCUGCCCCAGACUUCGGGAUAACGCUUCGAAAGAGGUGCUAAUACCGGAUACGAACUCCUUGGGCAUCCUUGGAGUUGGAAAGUUUUUCGGUCUGGGAUGGGCCCGCGGCCUAUCAGCUUGUUGGUGAGGUAACGGCUCACCAAGGCGACGACGGGUAGCCGGCCUGAGAGGGCGACCGGCCACACUGGGACUGAGACACGGCCCAGACUCCUACGGGAGGCAGCAGUGGGGAAUAUUGCGCAAUGGGCGAAAGCCUGACGCAGCAACGCCGCGUGAGGGAUGACGGCCUUCGGGUUGUAAACCUCUUUCAGCAGGGAAGAAGCGAAAGUGACGGUACCUGCAGAAGAAGCACCGGCUAACUACGUGCCAGCAGCCGCAGUAACAC
rnacentral:rRNA from 1 species